rnacentral:rRNA from 1 species
GACAGAGGGUGCAAACGUUGUUCGGAAUUACUGGGCGUAAAGCGAGUGUAGGCGGUUUGGUAAGUCGGAUGUGAAAGCCCCGGGCUCAACCCGGGAAGUGCACUCGAUACUGCCAAGCUAGAGUAUCGGAGAGGUUGGUGGAAUUCUCGGUGUAGAGGUGAAAUUCGUAGAUAUCGAGAGGAACACCGGUGGCGAAGGCGGGGUCUCUGGGCCGAUACUGACGUGAGGAGCGAAAGCGUGGGGGAGCGAACAGG